UGGCCGCAGUAUUUUGACCGUGCUAAGGUAGCAUAAUCAAUAGUUUUUUAAUUGAAAGCUGGAAUGAAGGGUUGGAUAAGAAAAUAACUGUUUUUAUUUUAUUUAAUUAGAAUUUUAUUUUUAAGUUAAAAAGCUUAAAUUUUAUUAAAAGACGAGAAGACCCUAUAGAGUUUUAUAAUUUUAAAGGUUUUUAGAUUAAGAAUUUAUUUUUUAAAUUUUUAAAAUUAUUUAAUUGGGGUGAUUAAAAAAUUAAUAUAACUUUUUUUUUAUAUUUACAUUAUUAAUUGAAUUUUUGAUCCAUAUUUAAUGAUUAUAAGAUUAAAUUACCUUAGGGAUAACAGCGUUAUUUUUUUUGAGAGUUCAA
rnacentral:rRNA from 1 species